rnacentral:lncRNA from 1 species
GCAGAUUAUGGCUUCAAGGUUGUUUUUUUACACCUUCACUGGGCCUGGAAAACAUUCCUAAAGGAUUCUGGCUGUCCACUAAGGGGAAGCGAAAUGGCCCGGCUUCUCUUUCCCGUCUGCCAACAAGCCGAGGAACGCCGCCCGAGCCUUCUGCUACCGUUCUUGCUUUUCUCUCCUUCCCACCCCCUCCACCGUCCCUCCGGCCAGGCCGGGUUUGGAAUCCCCCUCCGGCCCAUUGGCCUCGGGCCAGAGAGACGCGACAGGUGUGUUGGGAGACAGGCUCCAGAGGUCAAGGGGAAAAGGCAGCGAAAGCUCCAGAGAAGCUGGCCAGCAGCGCUCCGGGCACCUGAUCCUGAGCUUUUGGGGGAGAGAGGCCAGUAGGACUGCACACGG